rnacentral:rRNA from 1 species
AGCGAACGCUGGCGGCAGGCCUAACACAUGCAAGUCGAACGGAUCCUUCGGGAUUAGUGGCGGACGGGUGAGUAACACGUGGGAACGUGCCCUUUGGUUCGGAACAACUCAGGGAAACUUGAGCUAGUACCGGAUGUGCCCUUCGGGGGAAAGAUUUAUCGCCAUUGGAGCGGCCCGCGUCUGAUUAGCUAGUUGGUGAGGUAACGGCCCACCAAGGCGACGAUCAGUAGCUGGUCUGAGAGGAUGAUCAGCCACACUGGGACUGAGACACGGCCCAGACUCCUACGGGAGGCAGCAGUGGGGAAUCUUGCGCAAUGGGCGAAAGCCUGACGCAGCCAUGCCGCGUGAAUGAUGAAGGUCUUAGGAUUGUAAAAUUCUUUCAGCGGGGACGAUAAUGACGGUACCCGCAGAAGAAGCUCCGGCUAACUUCGUG